UACGAAGGGGGCUAGCGUUGUUCGGAAUUACUGGGCGUAAAGCGCACGUAGGCGGGUCUGUAAGUUGGAGGUGAAAUCCCGGGGCUUAACCCCGGAACUGCCUUCAAGACUGCGGAUCUGGAGGUCAGGAGAGGCGAGCGGAAUACCGAGUGUAGAGGUGAAAUUCGUAGAUAUUCGGUGGAACACCAGUGGCGAAGGCGGCUCGCUGGACUGAUACUGACGCUGAGGUGCGAAAGCGUGGGGAGCAAACAGG
rnacentral:rRNA from 1 species